UAUUAUUUGCUUUAUCCACAUGAUUGCUUCCCCCGAAACUUUCCUGGAAAAACUUGUUCUAUCUAUAUUGCCUCCCACUAUGUUUCAUCAUUGACAUAAGCUGGUACCCUGGAGGGUGUGGAACUGAGGCAGGAGUCAACCAGAGAUCUGCAUCUGUGGACACGGUUGCUGGUGGCUGCUUAUUUCGGAAGGAAAACCGAGAAGAGAAAAGCUAGCUUCCGAGGAGUCUGGGGGCGUAUAAAAUGUUUGAUGAAUGCGCCGGGACCCUCCCCGUGCGAGGAGCUUUGGCUGUGGCGCACCGGCCUCCCACCAAAGAGCACCGGGACGUGUCUGCUGCGAUUCAACCCAUGUAUCAAUGUGAUGAAAAGGGCCCCUUCGGUCAAGAAGUGGUUUUCCGUCACGCUCAAGCAUUUACCAACCUGGUUGCGGUGUGACCUCUGCAGGACGCAGCUUAAGGGGGACUCUGAACAUCUCUUUUAAAUUGCCAAAGUCCCUGAACCCCUACUGACCCGAUGGCAAGUGAAGUUGCUGAACUGCGUGUGAGAUCCACACACAGCCUGGAGUCAUGCCGAUAAACAGAGGUGCCUGGGGAAGGCACGCAGCCUGCCCAGCCGUCCCGGCAGGCAGGAGAGACAAGCAGUGACCAAAGGGGUGUGA
rnacentral:lncRNA from 1 species